rnacentral:rRNA from 1 species
CCUACGGGAGACAGCAGUCGAGAAUCAUUCACAAUGGGGGAAACCCUGAUGGUGCGACGCCGCGUGGGGGAAUGAAGGUCUUCGGAUUGUAAACCCCUGUCAUGUGGGAGCAAAUUAAAAAGAUAGUACCACACGAGGAAGAGACGGCUAACUCUGUGCCAGCAGCCGCGGUAAUACAGAGGUCUCAAGCGUUGUUCGGAAUCACUGGGCGUAAAGCGUGCGUAGGCUGUUUCGUAAGUCGUGUGUGAAAGGCGCGGGCUCAACCCGCGGACGGCACAUGAUACUGCGAGACUAGAGUAAUGGAGGGGGAACCGGAAUUCUCGGUGUAGCAGUGAAAUGCGUAGAUAUCGAGAGGAACACUCGUGGCGAAGGCGAGUUCCUGGACAUUAACUGACGCUGAGGCACGAAGGCCAGGGGAGCGAAAGGGAUUAGAUACCCGGGUAGUC